CCUACGGGAGGCAGCAGUGGGGGAUAUUGCACAAUGGGGGAAACCCUGAUGCAGCGACGCCGCGUGUGGGAAGACGGUCUUCUGGAUUGUAAACCACUGUCCCCAGGGACGAAAAUGACGGUACCUGGGCAGGAAGCUCCGGCUAACUACGUGCCAGCAGCCGCGGUAAUACGUAGGGAGCAAGCGUUGUCCGGAAUUACUGGGUGUAAAGGGAGCGUAGGGGGGGAUGCAAGUUGGGUGUCAAAACUACCGGCUCAACCGAUAGUCGCACUCAAAACUGCAGCUCUUGAGUGAGGUAGAGGCAGGCGGAAUGCCUGGUGUAGCGGUGAAAUGCGUAGAUAUUAGGAGGAACACCAGUGGCGAAGGCGGCCUGCUGGGCUUUUACUGACGCUGAGGCUCGAAAGUGUGGGGAGCGAACAGGAUUAGAUACCCGUGUAGUC
rnacentral:rRNA from 1 species